UGGCUCAGAACGAACGCUGGCGGCAGGCCUAACACAUGCAAGUCGAGCGCACCUUCGGGUGAGCGGCGGACGGGUGAGUAACGCGUGGGAAUAUGCCCAGAUCUACGGAAUAGCCUCGGGAAACUGAGAGUAAUACCGUAUACGCCCUUCGGGGAAAGGAUUUAUCGGAUUUGGAUUAGCCCGCGUUAGAUUAGGUAGUUGGUGGGGUAAUGGCCUACCAAGCCUACGAUCUAUAGCUGGUUUGAGAGGAUGAUCAGCCACACUGGGACUGAGACACGGCCCAGACUCCUACGGGAGGCAGCAGUGGGGAAUCUUAGACAAUGGGGGAAACCCUGAUCUAGCCAUGCCGCGUGAGUGACGAAGGCCCUAGGGUCGUAAAGCUCUUUCAGCUGUGAAGAUAAUGACGGUAGCAGCAGAAGAAACCCCGGCUAACUCCGUGCCAGCAGCCGCGGUAAU
rnacentral:rRNA from 1 species